rnacentral:rRNA from 1 species
CCCUUAGAUGUUCUGGGCCGCACGCGCGCUACACUGAUGCAUUCAACGAGCCUAUCCUUGACCGACAGGUCCGGGUAAUCUUUGAAUCUGCAUCGUGACGGGGAUAGAUUAUUGCAAUUAUUAAUCUUCAACGAGGAAUGCCUAGUAGGCGCAAGUCAUCAGCUUGCGUCGAUUACGUCCCUGCCCUUUGUACACACCGCCCGUCGCUCCUACCGAUUGGGUGUGCUGGUGAAAUGUUCGGAUCGGCCGUUUGUCGCGGUUUCCGCGUCAUGUGGCUGGGAAGUUCAUUAACCCCUCCCACCUAGAGGAAGGAGAAGUCGUAACA